GCCGCCGCGAGGCGGGGUCUGAAGGAAGCGGUACGCAAAUCCCCGGCCCGAAGAACAUGAAGCGCAUACGAGGCAGCCGCGUCUGGGCGAGAAGGCAAAGAAAUUCAAAGCCCGAUAGUCAUCCGGAAGGCGCGGAAGUAGAUGCGACGGGUACAUGGGGAGAAAGUGGGUGCGC
rfam:Nitrospirae bacterium GWC2_57_13 gwc2_scaffold_2395, whole genome shotgun sequence.